rnacentral:rRNA from 1 species
GAUGAACGCUGGCGGCGUGCCUAAUACAUGCAAGUCGAGCGAACUGAUUAGAAGCUUGCUUCUGUGACGUUAGCGGCGGACGGGUGAGUAACACGUGAGCAACCUGCCUGUAAGACUGGGAUAACUUCGGGGAACCGAAGCUAAUACCGGAUAGGAUCUUCUCCUUCAUGGGAGAUGAUUGAAAGAUGGUUUUGGCUAUCACUUACAGAUGGGCCCGCGGUGCAUUAGUUAGUUGGUGAGGUAACGGCUCACCAAGGCAACGAUGCAUAGCCGACCUGAGAGGGUGAUCGGCCACACUGGGACUGAGACACGGCCCAGACUCCUACGGGAGGCAGCAGUAGGGAAUCUUCCGCGAUGGGCGAGAGUCUGACGGAGCAACGCCGCGUGAGUGAUGAAGGCUUUCGGGUCGUAAAACUCUGUUGUUAGGGAAGAACAAGUACAAGAGUAACUGCUUGUACCUUGACGGUACCUAACCAGAAAGCCACGGCUAACUCCGUGCCAGCAGCCGCCGUAACAC